GACGAACGCUGGCGGCGUGCUUAACACAUGCAAGUCGAACGGAAAGGCCUUGCUUUUGUGGGAUGCUCGAGUGGCGAACGGGUGAGUAACCCGAGAGUAACCUGCCCUUGACUUUGGGAUAACUACAGGAAACUGGGGCUAAUAUAGGAUAGGAGCUCCUGCUGCAUGGUGGGGGUUGGCACGCUGCGGCGGUUGGGGAUGGGCUCGGGGCUUAUCAGCUUGUUGGUGGGGCAGUGGAUUACCAAGGCUUUGACGGGUAGCCGGCCUGAGAGGGUGAACGGCGACAUGGGGACUGAGAGACGGCCCAGACUCCUACGGGGGGCAGCAGUGGGGAAUAUUGCACAAUGGGCGGAAGCCUGAGGCAGCAACGUCGCGUGCGGGAUGACGGCCUUCGGGUUGUAAACCGCUUUCGCCUGAGACGAAGCGGGAGUGACGGUAAUGGGUAAAGAAGCACCGGCUAACUACGUG
rnacentral:rRNA from 1 species